UACGUAGGUGGCAAGCGUUAUCCGGAAUCAUUGGGCGUAAAGGGUGCGUAGGCGGCUUCUUAAGUUUGUAGUGAAAUCGUAGAGCUCAACUCUAUCAAGCUACGAAAACUGGGAGGCUAGAGUGCGUAGAGGCAAGUGGAAUUCCAUGUGUAGCGGUAAAAGGCGUAGAUAUAUGGAGGAACACCGGUGGCGAAGGCGGCUUGCUGGGCCGUAACUGACGCUGAGGCACGAAAGUGUGGGGAGCAAAUAG
rnacentral:rRNA from 1 species